rnacentral:rRNA from 1 species
UACAGAGGGUCCCAAGCGUUGUUCGGAUUCAUUGGGCGUAAAGGGGUGCGUAGGCGGCGCGGUUAAGUUGGGUGUGAAAUCUCGGAGCUUAACUCCGAAACUGCAUUCGAUACUGCCGUGCUUGAGGACUGGAGAGGAGACUGGAAUUUACGGUGUAGCGGUGAAAUGCGUAGAUAUCAGGAGGAACACCAAUUGCGAAGGCAGCUCGCUGGGACGUUAACUGACGCUGAGACGCGAAAGCGUGGGGAGCAAACAGG